UGGGGAAUAUUGCACAAUGGGCGCAAGCCUGAUGCAGCCAUGCCGCGUGUAUGAAGAAGGCCUUCGGGUUGUAAAGUACUUUCAGCGGGGAGGAAGGGAGUAAAGUUAAUACCUUUGCUCAUUGACGUUACCCGCAGAAGAAGCACCGGCUAACUCCGUGCCAGCAGCCGCGGUAAUACGGAGGGUGCAAGCGUUAAUCGGAAUUACUGGGCGUAAAGCGCACGCAGGCGGUUUGUUAAGUCAGAUGUGAAAUCCCCGGGCUCAACCUGGGAACUGCAUCUGAUACUGGCAAGCUUGAGUCUCGUAGAGAGGGGUAGAAUUCCAGGUGUAGCGGUGAAAUGCGUAGAGAUCUGGAGGAAUACCGGUAGCGAAGGCGGCCCCCUGGACGAAAACUGACGCUCAGGUGCGAAAGCGUGGGGAGCAAACAGG
rnacentral:rRNA from 1 species